UUAAGUUAACAAGGGCGCAUGGUGAAUGCCUUGGCACUAGGAGCCGACGAAGGACGGGACUAACACCGAUAUGCUUCGGGGAGCUGUACGUAAGCUAUGAUCCGGAGAUUUCCGAAUGGGGCAACCCAGCAGUUUUAAUCAACUGUUACCACUAGAUGAAUUCAUAGUCUAGUUGGAGGUAAACGCUGUGAACUGAAACAUCUCAUUAGCAGCAGGAAUAUAAAGAAAUUUCGAUUCCCUAAGUAGCGGCGAGCGAACGGGGAACAGCCCAAACCAAAGUGCUUGCACUUUGGGGUUGUAGGACUGAACAUUUGAGUUACCAAAGAACUUGAUAGUCGAAGGAUUUGGGAAAAUCCGCCAUAGAUGGUGAUAGCCCAGUAGAUUAAAUCAAAUUCUCUCAGUUCAGGAUCCUGAGUACGGCGGAACACGUGAAAUUCCGUCGGAAUCCGGGAGGACCAUCUCCCAAGGCUAAAUACUACCUAGUGACCGAUAGUGAACCAGUACCGUGAGGGAAAGGUGAAAAGCACCCCGGGAGGGGAGUGAAAUAGUUCCUGAAACCAUGUGCCUACAAUAAGUCAGAGCGCGUUAAUGCGUGAUGGCGUGCCUUUUGUAGAAUGAACCGGCGAGUUAUGAUCCCGUGCAAGGUUAAGACUAAAAAGUCGGAGCCGUAGCGAAAGCGAGUCUGAAAUGGGCGUUUUGAGUACGAGGUUAUAGACCCGAAACCAGGUGACCUAUCCAUGUCCAGGUUGAAGGUGCGGUAAAACGCACUGGAGGACCGAACCCGUGUAAGUUGAAAAUUGCUGGGAUGAGGUGUGGAUAGCGGUGAAAUUCCAAACGAACUUGGAGAUAGCUGGUUCUCUCCGAAAUAGCUUUAGGGCUAGCCUCGGAAUUAGGAUCAUGGAGGUAGAGCACUAUUUGGACUAGGGGCCCGUCUUGGGUUACUGAAUUCAGAUAAACUCCGAAUGCCAUUGAUUCAUAUCCGGGAGUCAGACGAUGAGUGAUAAGAUCCACCGUCGAAAGGGGAACAGCCCAGACCAUCAGUUAAGGUCCCUAAAUGUAUGCUAAGUGGAAAAGGAUGUGGAGUUGCAUAGACAACUAGGAUGUUGGCUCAGAAGCAGCCACCAUUUAAAGAGUGCGUAAUAGCUCACUAGUCGAGUGAUCCUGCGCCGAAAAUGUACCGGGGCUAAGCAUACUACCGAAACCAUGGAUGCGACCAUUAGGUCGCGUGAUAGGAGAGCGUUCUAAGGGCGGUGAAGCAAGAUCGUGAGGACUUGUGGAGCGCUUAGAAGUGAGAAUGCCGGUAUGAGUAGCGAAAGAUAGGUGAGAAUCCUAUCCACCGAAUGACUAAGGUUUCCUGGGGAAGGCUCGUCCUCCCAGGGUUAGUCGGGACCUAAGUCGAGGCCGAGAGGCGUAGACGAUGGAUAACAGGUUGAGAUUCCUGUACUAGUUAAGUGCGUUUGAGCAAUGGAGGGACGCAGGAGGCUAAGAUGUGCAUUCUGUUGGAUUAGAAUGUCCAAGCAGUAAGUCUUGUGAAGAGUCAAAUGCUUUUCACUUUAAGGACAAGCUGUGAUGGGGAGCGAAAUUUAGUAGCGAAGCGUCUGAUGUCACACUGCCGAGAAAAGCUUCUAGUGAGUACUUAACUACCCGUACCGCAAACCGACACAGGUAGUCGAGGAGAGAAUCCUAAGGUGAGCGAGUGAACUCUCGUUAAGGAACUCGGCAAAAUGACCCCGUAACUUCGGGAGAAGGGGUGCUGAUCGCAAGAUCAGCCGCAGUGAAUAGGCCCAGGCGACUGUUUAUCAAAAACACAGGUCUCUGCAAAAUCGUAAGAUGACGUAUAGGGGCUGACGCCUGCCCGGUGCUGGAAGGUUAAAAGGAUGGGUUAGCUUCGGCGAAGCUCAGAAUUGAAGCCCCAGUAAACGGCGGCCGUAACUAUAACGGUCCUAAGGUAGCGAAAUUCCUUGUCGGGUAAGUUCCGACCCGCACGAAAGGCGUAACGAUCUGGGCACUGUCUCAACGAGAGACUCGGUGAAAUUAUAUUGUCCGUGAAGAUGCGGACUACCCGCGACAGGACGGAAAGACCCCAUGGAGCUUUACUGUAGCUUGAUAUUGAGUGUUUGUACAGCUUGUACAGGAUAGGUAGGAGCCAUAGAAACCGGAACGCUAGUUUCGGUGGAGGCGUUGGUGGGAUACUACCCUCGCUGUAUGACCACUCUAACCCGCACCACUAAUCGUGGUGGGAGACAGUGUCAGGUGGGCAGUUUGACUGGGGCGGUCGCCUCCUAAAAAGUAACGGAGGCGCCCAAAGGUUCCCUCAGAAUGGUUGGAAAUCAUUCGCAGAGUGUAAAGGCACAAGGGAGCUUGACUGCGAGACAGACAGGUCGAGCAGGGACGAAAGUCGGGCUUAGUGAUCCGGUGGUACCGUAUGGAAGGGCCAUCGCUCAACGGAUAAAAGCUACCCUGGGGAUAACAGGCUUAUCUCCCCCAAGAGUCCACAUCGACGGGGAGGUUUGGCACCUCGAUGUCGGCUCAUCGCAUCCUGGGGCUGUAGUCGGUCCCAAGGGUUGGGCUGUUCGCCCAUUAAAGCGGUACGCGAGCUGGGUUCAGAACGUCGUGAGACAGUUCGGUCCCUAUCCGUCGCGGGCGUAGGAAAUUUGAGAGGACCUGUCCUUAGUACGAGAGGACCGGGAUGGACAUACCUCUGGUGUACCAGUUGUGCCGCCAGGCGCAUCGCUGGGUAGCUACGUAUGGAUGUGAUAAACGCUGAAAGCAUCUAAGUGUGAAACACACCUCGAGAUGAGAUUUCCCAUUCCUUUAUGGAAGUAAGACCCCUGAAAGAUGAUCAGGUAGAUAGGUUAGAAGUGGCAGUGCGGUGACGCAUGAAGCGGACUAAUACUAAUCGGUCGAGGACUUAACCAA
rnacentral:rRNA from 2 species